rnacentral:rRNA from 1 species
UACGAAGGGGGCUAGCGUUGCUCGGAAUUACUGGGCGUAAAGCGCACGUAGGCGGCUUUCUAAGUCGGGGGUGAAAUCCUGGAGCUCAACUCCAGAACUGCCUUCGAUACUGGAAAGCUCGAGUCCGGGAGAGGUGAGUGGAACUGCGAGUGUAGAGGUGAAAUUCGUAGAAUAUUCGCAAGAACACCAGUGGCGAAGGCGGCUCACUGGCCCGGUACUGA